UGGGCUUGACAUCCCGAUCGCACCCCUUGGAAACUUGGGGGUCAGCUUGGCUGGAUCGGUGACAGGUGCUGCAUGGCUGUCGUCAGCUCGUGUCGUGAGAUGUUGGGUUAAGUCCCGCAACGAGCGCAACCCUUGUCCUUAGUUGCCAUCAUUAAGUUGGGCACUCUAGGGAGACUGCCGGUGUUAAACCGGAGGAAGGUGGGGAUGACGUCAAGUCCUCAUGGCCCUUAUGUCCAGGGCUACACACGUGCUACAAUGGCCGGUACAAAGGGCAGCGAUACCGCAAGGUGGAGCGAAUCCCAAAAAGCCGGUCUCAGUUCGGAUUGGAGUCUGCAACUCGACUCCAUGAAGCUGGAAUCACUAGUAAUCGUAGAUCAGCAAUGCUACGGUGAAUACGUUCCCGGGUCU
rnacentral:rRNA from 1 species